UUACAUAACCCAUAAAUUCCAAGGUCGACACACAAAUAAACAUAUCCGUCGAACAGAGCGGGCAGGCAGCGGGUUGACACCGGGCUCUGGUGUGUUCGGGCCGGCUGAGUGAGCGGGUGCAGUGCGGUGGCCUCAUUUCCUCCAUUGUUGGAGCCCGCAGAGAAAAGCCCCGCCGAGGAGGAGGAGGGAGGACAAGCAGUGCGACAUAACAGACAUGCGAUGAGACAAGUUAGUACUCGGGGCUUUUGUACAUGAGAAGGACAAAGCGGCAAAACCGGCCGCCAUUGCUCGGUGAAGAUGGGGGAUGGGAGCGGAGCGAACAAGCAGCCCACAUCCACAUUCUGCCCUAAUGACGCACUCAGCUGCCGAGGACGCCUCCGAUUGGCCGGUUAAGUGGAAUAAACACGGCUUUUCCGCACGGCGGCUGUGGAUUGGCUGCCACGGACAUCCGUCAAUUCAAAUUGUGCUCUUUGUAAACAACGGCUCCGGAUCCGGACGCGGACCGAGUUUCAUUUCAUGUUCCCGUUCACCGCCGAGCUAAAGCGCCUCUUCAAUCUGAGAACCAUGAUCUCCGAGAACCACGUUCAUUAUGUUCACUAUGGUCCAUCAGGAACUGUUCUGUGAAACAUUUAGCCCGCACAUGGAGCCAGCGAUCCUCCAACAGAACGGAAUUGUGUGUCCGAGCUGCAUCACUCUGACCGUGUUUUCAGAAUAUGAUAAAUCCACACCUGUAAAUUCAACCAUACACACGUAGAGUUAAGCACAUCCAUCUGUUUAUAUUUGCAUCAUCAUGUUUCGUCCUAUUCCCUAAACAACAGGCCAACUUUGAUGUGUUCUUGUGCUUUUGAUUCAAAACUCAAAUGAUUUUUAUUUAUAUUGUGCCAAUUCUUAUGAGCUUUACACAAAAUUACACAAUAAUUACAGAGAAUGCAACAAAUCCAAUCAGUAGGGGAAUAUGAUUCUGACUGAUAGCCCUUUAACAUCGCACACCUGAAAAUCCAGUUUACAGAACUCAAGCUGCAAGGAAGAUGUUCUCUCAAAGCAUUUAUCUGGUGUUUGUUCAAGAUUAAUCCAUUGUUUAGGAAGUGCAUUAAAGCUAGAGAAACCCCAUCGGUUAGGGUGAGGGUAACAGAAACUAUAUGGAUUCUACAAUUAAGACGUAUUAGAGUGUUUAACAUACAUGUCAGUACAGGCCUGCAAAUAUACACAAAUAAAAACAACCAAACCAGCUCAGGGACAACUGCAUCUCACAAGUCUGUUGUGUGGCAGAACUUUGACACAAAUGUGCAAUUCUUAGAAACCUGAAAGUUGUGUUUCUGUCUCAAAAUAUGUUUGGAGCACAUGCCGUAAUGAAUUAAUGUAUUCAUAAUAUGUGACAUUCGUUCCAUUGAAAACAAAUGGAAAAUGCAAUGACUGUUAAGUUGACUCAAUUAAACUCAGAUUGGUGAAAUCAUA